rnacentral:rRNA from 1 species
AUACGGAGGGUGCGAGCGUUAAUCGGAAUUACUGGGCGUAAAGCGUGCGUAGGCGGUUUGCUAAGUCAGAUGUGAAAGCCCCGGGCCUAACCUGGGAACUGCAUUUGAUACUGGCAGACUAGAGUAUGAUAGAGGGGGGUAGAAUUCCUGGUGUAGCGGUGAAAUGCGUAGAUAUCAGGAGGAAUACCAGUGGCGAAGGCGGCCCCCUGGAUCAAUACUGACGCUGAGGUACGAAAGCGUGGGGAGCGAACAGGAUUAGAUACCCUAGUAGUCC